GCUGAACGUGGGACGCAUCCCGGAACGGCGAGCAAGUGCAGUUCUUGCCAGAAGCAGCUCCUGUGAGGAUCAGGGUGCAGAGCUGGGUCUUCAGCAUCCGACUCUUGUGAUGGGUUUAGGAUUUGAGGACCCCUCCAUCUCUCAGAAGAAAUGUCCACCCCAGAUGAAGGAGAUGUGAACGGUCCCACCCAGAACCCAACUUCAUCUUGACACCUAUUCUGGGAGGUCUCCUGCUCCCUAUCUCUUCAUUUCUUCUCAUUGGACCCUGAAUCGAUUGCCUCCAUACACAGUUGCAUCUUUGAUGUCGUUGCCGAACCCAGGUAAACGGAACAUUGAUUUCGUCGUACGUUCACUUACUCAUUUGAGAAAUGUUUACUGAGCAGCUACUACAGGCAAGGCACUGCCGAGUGAUCUGUGUGACCCGGUGGGGGGCAGAAGGCACUAGAUUGUAGGACUCCUGUCCCCACUCUGCACUCCUUACCUCUCCUAACCUGGACUAUUCAGCAAAUAUUUAGGAUACAGGUGUAUUUUGUGCCAGGCACUGGGAAACUAUAGAACCAGUCAUUCCCCUUUGUAGUCGGGGGAGCAGUUAGACAGGGGGUGAGCCCUAAGGAAGCCCUAUUAGGAUCCCCAAGACAAUGUGGCAGGAAAAGGCUAAAAUAUGGUAAUAGCGUUAAAGUGAGGUCAUGCA